AUUGCUGCAAGCUAUCCCUCGUUGCUAAGCUAUCGCUGCCAACCUCUCUAUUGCUGCAAGCUAUCCCUCGCUGCUAAGCUAUCGCUGCCAACCUAUCUAUCGCUGCCAAUUUAUCUACCACUGCCAAUCUAUCUAUUGCUGCUAAUCUAUCGCUGCUGCCAAUCUAUCCCUCACUGCUAAGCUAUCCCUCGCUGCUAAUCUAUCGCUGCCAACCUAUCUACCGCGGCGAAUCUAUCUAUCGCUGCCAAUUUAUCUACCACUGCCAAUCUAUCUAUCGCUGCCAAUCUAUUGCUGCUAAUCUAUCGCUGCUAAUCUAUCGCUGCUGCCAAUCUAUGUUUCGCUGCUAAUCUAUCGCCGCUGCCAAUCUAUCCCUCGCUGCUAAGCUAUCCCUCACUGCUAAGCUAUCUCUCGCUGCUAAGCUAUCCCUCACUGCUAAGCUAUCCCUCGCUGCUAAGCUAUCCCUCACUACUAAGCUAUCUAUCACUGCUAAUCUAUCGCUGCCAACCUAUCUAUCACUGCCAAUCUAUCUAUCGCUGCUAAUCUAUCACUGCUAAUCUAUCACUGCUAAUCUAUCGCUGCUAAUCUAUCACUGCCAACCUAUCUACCGCGGCGAAUCUAUCUAUCACUAUCAUUACUAGUUCAAAAUAGAACUAGAGCAUAAAUACACUAAACUUCUUUUGAUAGGUAAUGAUUUUUGGUAACACUCAUAGCAUUAUAUCAUCUAUAUAGGGUAAAUCAUGGUCCCAUUUGGUCCCAUUUUAACAAAAUGGGACCAAAUGGGAUCAGAAUCAGUAAUUUAUAAGAAGAACAUGACCUGAGACUAGAUUUAUAAUAUAAACAGUGUAAAGUGACUAAUUUAAUAAACACUAUAUGGGAC
rnacentral:sRNA from 1 species